AAGCGGAUCAAAAAGAAAUUAGAUUUACAAUAGUGUCUGCCAUAAACUAGCUUAUUCUCAUCACUUUCCCCACCAUUUUUCUUGCCCGUUUUGUGUCACCUUUCCCCUGUCCCAGCCUCUUUUGAGGCUGGGUCUCCGCCGUGUUCACCACCGUCGUUUCAUUAUGCUCUAUAACUGAUUGAUUCUAUUUAAAGAGAAGAAGGGAUUGUGCCUUGUUUUUGCAUGCCCUUCAAUCUUGUUUCAUUGAAUUCGAUUUAUUGAUUCUUUUAUUCUUUUCUUUUCUUAAGCCAAAGCGCGUAAAGCUAGCGAUUUUCAGCAAGAUCGGGAGAAAAUCUUCAUUACCUCUAGACCUACCAUUUGUUAAUAACAUGUUUUUUGAACUUGACAGCUCUGGCACCUCCGUCGCCGCCCCCACCACCUCCACCAUGCCAAAGAAUCAAACUUUGAUAGCACGCCAGAUAUUCAUCCAUCCAACGCCGUCUUUACCAUCUCCGUCCUCUUUCUCCUCCUUAGACAAGGGUCGCCCACUUCUUCAACGACACGUCCGCUCCAACUCCACCAACUCCUGCCACAGCGGUCGUUUCGCAGAACUAGCAGGCGGGACGACGGCUGAGUGUGCCGCGAUUUGCUGCUGUUGUCCAUGUGUGUUGGUAAACCUUCUAUACCUCACUAUCUGCAAGGUUCCGGCUGGGCUUUGCCGCCGGGCUCUGAGGAGGAAGCGUAGGAAUCAGCUGAUCAAGCAAGGUUUGCUGCCGGCCAGGACAAACAGGCGCCAUUGCGGGUUCGAUGACACAGACAUACUAAUUCAUCAGUCUCCAAGUAUGCAUGAAUUGGUAGAGUUCAGGUCGGAUUCAGAGGCGUCGGACGAGGAGGAAGAAAUGAUGAAGCUAGAGAAGGAGAUGUGGGAGACAUUUUACAAUACUGGGUUUUGGAGAAGUCCUUCUCAAAAAGAAGCUCCUGGUAUGAGAAGUAAUCUCCACAUAGAUUCACUUAUGGCCAAGGUUAAACAACUAUAGAUAAAGCCUGCAUGUUCAAUUGUUCAUGCCGUUAAUUGCUUACUACUGCUAAAUAUAUAUAUAUACGUAUAAUUUUUUUUUUCUUUCUUCUUCUUUUCUUAAAGAUUUUUAGAGAGAGAGAGAGAGAGAGA
rnacentral:misc_RNA from 1 species